rnacentral:rRNA from 1 species
AUUGAACGCUGGCGGCAGGCCUAACACAUGCAAGUCGAGCGGAUGAAGGGAGCUUACUCCUGGAUUCAGCGGCGGACGGGUGAGUAAUGCCUAGGAAUCUGCCUGGUAGUGGGGGAUAACGUCCGGAAACGGGCGCUAAUACCGCAUACGUCCUGAGGGAGAAAGUGGGGGAUCUUCGGACCUCACGCUAUCAGAUGAGCCUAGGUCGGACUAGCUAGUUGGUGGGGUAAAGGCCUACCAAGGCGACGAUCCGUAACUGGUCUGAGAGGAUGAUCAGUCACACUGGAACUGAGACACGGUCCAGACUCCUACGGGAGGCAGCAGUGGGGAAUAUUGGACAAUGGGCGAAAGCCUGAUCCAGCCAUGCCGCGUGUGUGAAGAAGGUCUUCGGAUUGUAAAGCACUUUAAGUUGGGAGGAAGGGCAGUAAGUUAAUACCUUGCUGUUUUGACGUUACCAACAGAAUAAGCACCGGCUAACUUCGUG